GUCGUCGUCGUCGUCGUCGUCCUUCGUCGUCGUCGUCGUCCGAAUACUUUUAGUUUUCGCACUCUAACUUUAGUAAAAGUGAAUAGAAAUCUAUGAAAUUUUAACACAAGGUUUAUGACCAUAAAAGGAAGGCUGGUAUUGAUUUUGGGAGUUUUGGUCCCAACAUUUUAGGAAUUAGGGGCCAAAAAGGGCCCAAAUAAGCAUUUUCUUGGUUUUCGCACUAUAACUUUAGUUUAAGUUAAUAGAAAUCUAUGAAAUUUUGACACAAGGUUUAUAACCACAAAAUAAAGGUUGGGAUUGAUUUUGGGAGUUUUAUUUUCAACAGUUUAGGAAUUAGGGGCCAAAAAAGGGCCCAAAUAAGCAUUAUUCUUGGUUUUCGCACAAUAACUUUAGUUAAAGUAAAUAGAAAUCAAUGAAAUUUAUACACAAUGUUUAUGACCACAAAAGGAAGGUUGGUAUUGAUUUUGGGAGUUUCGGUCCCAACAGUUUAGGAAUUAGGGGCCAAAAAGGGACCCAAAUAAGCAUUUUUCUUGGUUUUCGCACCAUAGCGUUAGUAUAAGAAAAUAGAAAUCUAUGAAAUUUGAACACAAGGUUUAUGACUAUAAAAGGAAGGUUGGUAUUGAUUUUGGAAGUUUUGGUCCCAACUGUUAAGGAAAAAGGGGCCCAAAGGGUCCAAAAUUAAACUUAGUUUGAUUUCAUCAAAAUUGAAUAAUUGGGGUUCUUUAAUAUGCCGAAUCUAACUGUGUAUGUAGAUUCUUAAUUUUUGGUCCCUUUUUCAAAUUGGUCUACAUUAAGGUCCAAAGGGUCCAAAAUUAAACUUAGUUUGAUUUUAACAAAAAUUGAAACCUUGGGGUUCUUUGAUUUGCUGAAUCUAAAAAUGUACUAAGAUUUUUUGAUUAUUGGCCCAGUUUUCAAGUUGGCCCAAAUCGGGUCCAAAAUUAAACAUUGUUUGAUUUCAUCAAAAAUUGAAUAAUUGGGGUUCUUUGAUAUGCCAAAUCUAACUGUGUUUGUAGAUUCUUAAUUUUUGGUCCAGUUUUAAAAUUGGUCUAAAUUAAAGUGCAAAGGGUCCAAAAUUAAACUAAGUUUGAUUUUAACAAAAAUAAAAUUCUUGGGCCUCUUUGAUAUGCUGAAUCUAAACAUGUACUUAGAUUUUUGAUUAUGGGCCCAGUUUUCAAGUUGGUCCAAAUCAGGAUCUAAAAUUAUUAUAUUAAGUAUUGUGCAAUAGCAAGUCUUUUCAAUUGCACAGUAUUGUGCAAUGGCAAGAAAUAUCUAAUUUCACAAUAUUGUGAAAUAGCAAAUUUUUUUUUAAUUAAGAGUUAUCUUUCUUUGUCCAGUAUAGUAAGCAAGAAAUAUCUGCAAGAAUUUUUUUAAUUGGAGUUAUCUUUCUUUGUCCAGAAUCAACUUAAAUCUUUGUUAUAUACAAUAUACAAUGUAUAUUCACUUUUUACUACCAACUGAUAAAUUUAAAUAAUCUUUACCAUUCAGUGAUAACAAGCAGUUUUUUUACAUCAUGUAUUUAAAUGAGUAGUAAUUGUUGCAAACUCCAUUAGAAUAUUUUAAUUGAAAUUAGUUUUGGAAUAAGGGAAAGGGGGAUGUGAAUAAAAAAUUGGGUUAAAUUCUUCUCAUUUGAAAUUUCAUAAAUAAAAAGAAAAUUUCUUCAAACAUUUUUUUGAGAGGAUUAAUAUUCAACAGCAUAGUGAAUUGCUUUAAGAGAAAACAAAAAUUUUAAGUUCAUUUGAAUACAUUCAUUCUGUGUCAGAAACCUAUGCUGUGUCAACUAUUUAAUCACAAUCCAAAUUUAGAACGGAAUCCAGCUUGAAUGUUGUGUCCAUACUUGCCCCAACCGUUCAGGGUUCAACCUCUGCGGUCGUAUAAAGCUACGCCCUGCGGAGCAUCUGGUUGUUUAUUUGUUGGCAUCUUUUUUUACUAAUCAUUAUGCAAUGCAAGUUCUCAGGCUUAAGUUUUGUUUUAAAUGUCUAGUUUGUUACUUAGAUAUCUGAAUUUGUAGAUCUUAAUCGUGUAUUUUUGUUGAAAACUUAAUAAAUUUUUUACCAAUUA